rnacentral:rRNA from 1 species
UACGUAGGGUGCGAGCGUUGUCCGGAAUUAUUGGGCGUAAAGAGCUCGUAGGCGGCCUGUCGCGUCGGAUGUGAAAGCCCGGGGCUUAACCCCGGGUCUGCAUUCGAUACGGGCAGGCUAGAGUUCGGUAGGGGAGAUCGGAAUUCCUGGUGUAGCGGUGAAAUGCGUAGAUAUCGGAAGGAACAUCAGUGGCGAAAGCGACUUCCUGGACCAGUACCGACGUUCAGGCACGAAAGCGUGGGGAGCAAACAGG